rnacentral:lncRNA from 1 species
UUAUUAAUCUCAUUAGCUCUAUAUCAUGUGUCCUUACAUUGAUGUAUCGUCAUUUAUUCUCUCACUAGCUAUCAUAGGCAAAGAUCAUCACUCCAUAAGAAACUCAUACACAAACCAAGUAUUUAAUCUUACUGAUAUAAGAAUCCACAUAUGCAAUCAAAUUUACUACUACCCAAUUUGGACUCCUUAUUUUAAAAUUCAAAACCUACAUGCCGACUCAAUCCAUUUUUCAUCAAUUCCAAUUCCAUAUAUUUGCCCUCAUAAUCAUUGAAGUUGUUC